rnacentral:tRNA from 5 species
GAAGACAGAACUCGAUUGGUUGAGUGUUUCACUUUUAAUGAAAAGGUUUUUGGUUCGAGCCCAAAUGUUUUCA